rnacentral:rRNA from 1 species
CCGUCUUAAACACGGACCAAGGAGUCUAGCACGUGCGCGAGUCAUUGGGACUUGUCGAACUAAACCCAGAGGCGCAAUGAAAGUGAAAGGCGGGGCCUAGCGUCCCGCCGCGAGGGAAGAUGCGCGGCCGUCGUCGUACGGCCCGCCGCAUUCCCGAGGCGUUUCGAGAAAGCCACCGCGUGAUUAUCGAGACGCACUGAGAGCGCACGCGCUGGGACCCGAAAGAUGGUGAACUAUGCCUGGUCAGGUCGAAGUCAGG